rnacentral:sRNA from 1 species
UGCAGCAACAAUCGAGCGAAUUGGUAC